rnacentral:rRNA from 1 species
CGAACGGGUGAGUAACGCGUAGGUAACCUACCUUAUAGCGGGGGAUAACUAUUGGAAACGAUAGCUAAUACCGCAUAAGAGUUGACAACACAUGUUGUUAAUUUAAAAGGAGCAAUUGCUUCACUAUGAGAUGGACCUGCGUUGUAUUAGCUAGUUGGUAAGGUAACGGCUUACCAAGGCCUCGAUACAUAGCCGACCUGAGAGGGUGAUCGGCCACACUGGGACUGAGACACGGCCCAGACUCCUACGGGAGGCAGCAGUAGGGAAUCUUCGGCAAUGGGGGGAACCCUGACCGAGCAACGCCGCGUGAGUGAAGAAGGUUUUCGGAUCGUAAAGCUCUGUUAUAAGCGAAGAACGGGAGUAAGAGUGGAAAAUUUACUCUGUGACGGUAGCUUAUCAGAAAGGGACGGCUAACUACGUGCCAGCAGCCGCGGUAAUACGUAGGUCCCGAGCGUUGUCCGGAUUUAUUGGGCGUAAAGCGAGCGCAGGUGGUUUAAUAAGUCUGAAGUUAAAGGCAUUGGCUCAACCAAUGUACGCUUUGGAAACUGUUAAACUUGAGUGCAGAAGGGGAGAGUGGAAUUCCAUGUGUAGCGGUGAAAUGCGUAGAUAUAUGGAGGAACACCGGUGGCGAAAGCGGCUCUCUGGUCUGUAACUGACACUGAGGCUCGAAAGCGUGG